rnacentral:rRNA from 1 species
GUGGGGAAUAUUGCACAAUGGGCGAAAGCCUGAUGCAGCAACGCCGCGUGAGGGACGACGGCCUUCGGGUUGUAAACCUCUUUUAGUAGGGAAGAAGCGAAAGUGACGGUACCUGCAGAAAAAGCACCGGCUAACUACGUGCCAGCAGCCGCGGUAAUACGUAGGGUGCAAGCGUUAUCCGGAAUUAUUGGGCGUAAAGAGCUCGUAGGCGGCUUGUCGCGUCUGCUGUGAAAACCCGAGGCUCAACCUCGGGCUUGCAGUGGGUACGGGCAGGCUAGAGUGCGGUAGGGGAGAUUGGAAUUCCUGGUGUAGCGGUGGAAUGCGCAGAUAUCAGGAGGAACACCGAUGGCGAAGGCAGAUCUCUGGGCCGUAACUGACGCUGAGGAGCGAAAGCAUGGGGAGCGAACAGGAUUAGAUACCCGUGUAGUCC